AGGAAGGCUGCAAAAAGAUUACAAAAUAGCCUCCCCCUGGCAGAAAUGUAAAAAAGCCAUUCCAUGAUUUUUUUUUUUCAGUUCUGCCAACGAUUUAUCUUCAGAAGACAAGCAGAUGAGGAGACAAAACCUACUGAUGUGGGUACCCAAGCAGGAACCCCCCUCUUGCACCGGCGACUCACGUGGGAAGAAGAAUUCACUGAGCUGAAAUGGAGUGAGAGCUAAGAUGCUCUCAGAAUAUUCUUAAAAUGACUGUGCUGCAAAGAAGCCUGGGUGAAUAGAAGAAAAUAAAAGGAAUGGUGGAUACAAGUGAAGGUUAAAAUGAGACCCCAUUUAUCGCACCAGCUGUUGGUGAUUUGAGCGCUCCUUUCCAAGCCUCUUGAGAGUUCUGCUCUAACCACACUGCCCCCUAGUGUUCUCUCGCUUUGGUGCAACUGCAGGUUUCUCAUACUUCUGGAGAAAUAGAAAGCACCAGAUGACAGCCACCACACACUUUUGUCCCCAUUGCAAUAGGAUGCUUCUAACAAUCGUAAAAUUAUGAAACACUGAAUUCCUUAAAAGUUGUCCAUUUGUGGAUUUAUCUGAUGCACAGAACACUGGGCCCAGACUCUUGCGAGAACAUGCCUUUGAACUGUUUGCUGCUCACCUUUUAGUGAAAGCUCUUGACAGAAAUAUUAAAGAGAAAGUGUUUAAAGGAUGUGUGGUCAAUGCAUUCCUGAUGGUGACUCUUCCGUGGAUUGAAAGCUCUGAAGUCCCACGCUGGAAAAACACUUAGAGAGACCUACAGAGAUAAUGAAAGUUGGUCAAUGGAGAAGGCAUCAAUUGGCAACAUUCGGUUGGACCAGUUAAUGAUUCAGUUUGCUUUUCAAAAGAUACUAGCAGACAGCAUUAAUCUUACCACUCUCUUUAAGUAUAAUCUGGACGUAGAAAAUCACUCACAUGCCUUAAGUUAGACCGAGUCUUGCUCUGUCGCCCAGGCUGGAGCACAAUGGCGCGAUCUUGGCUCACUACAACCUCCGCCUCCCGGAUUCAAGCAAUUCUCCUGUCUUCAGCCUCCCAAGUAGCUGGGAUUGCAGGUGUCAUCUAGUUCAACAACACGCUUUUCAAAUAGGAGAUGGAAGACCACAGAAGUCACCUGAAGCUGUUUAGGAGACACAGGCUGGAGCAAAACUGGAAUGGCCUAGCAUUGAAUCUGGUUUCUCUUUUCUUUUUAUUUAUUAAUGUAAUAAAAAAAAAUUUGGUUUCUAUUCUGCUUAGUAGAAAAGGUUUAUAUAUGGA